rnacentral:rRNA from 1 species
UCGAACGAAGUAGCAAUACUUAGUGGCAGACGGGUGAGUAACAUGUAGGUAUCUACCCCAUGGCCUGGAAUAACACGAGGAAACUUGUGCUAAUACCGGAUAAGUCUUUACAGAGAAAGCUUUAUGCACCAUUGGAUGAGCCUGCACUUGAUUAGUUUGUUGGUAGGGUAAUGGCAUACCAAGACUGUGAUCAAUAGCUGAUUUGAGAGGAUGAUCAGCCACAUUGGGACUGAGACACGGCCCAAACUCCUACGGGAGGCAGCAGUGGGGAAUCUUGCACAAUGGAGGAAACUCUGAUGCAGCGAUGCCGCGUGAGUGAAGAAGGCCCUUGGGUUGUAAAGCUCUUUCGUCGGGGAAGAAAAUGACUGUACCCGAAUAAGAAGGUCCGGCUAACUUCGUGCCAGCAGCCGCGGUAAUACGAAGGGACCUAGCGUAGUUCGGAAUUACUGGGCUUAAAGAGUUCGUAGGUGGUUGAAAAAGUUGGUGGUGAAAUCCCAGAGCUUAACUCUGGAACUGCCAUCAAAACUUUUCAGCUAGAGUAUGAUAGAGGAAAGCAGAAUUUCUAGUGUAGGGGUGAAAUUCGUAGAUAUUAGAAAGAAUACCAAUUGCGAAGGCAGCUUUCUGGAUCAUUACUGACACUGAGGAACGAAAGCAUGGGUAGCGAAGAGGAUUAGAUACCCUCGUAGUCCAUGCCGUAAACGAUGUGUGUUAGACGUUGGAAAUUUAUUUUCAGUGUCGCAGCGAAAGCGAUAAACACACCGCCUGGGGAGUACGACCGCAAGGUUAAAACUCAAAUGAAUUGACGGGGACCCGCACAAGUAGUGGAGCAUGUGGUUUAAUUCGAAGAUACGCGCAGAACCUUACCAACACUUGACAUGUUCGUCGCGACUUUAAGAGAUUAAAGUUUUCGGUUCGGCCGGACGAAACACAGGUGCUGCAUGGCUGUCGUCAGCUCGUGUCGUGAGA